AAAUUUUUUACAUAACGUAUUUUAUGGACAGCUAGGUUAUGAGUGAAGGCGUUGGUGAAAAUGAUAUGUGCAACGUCUCUUUUUUUGUUUGGUUGCGCUUCCUUAAAGAUAACUUUUAUCAAAUUUUUUUGACGAUUUUGUGCCCACUGAAUUGAAACAUCUUAGUAUGGGGGCAGUGUAAAAUUCAAAACUUCAUCGAAUUAAUCGAGAUAUGGGUUAGUAGAGGUGAUCGAUAGCCCGUUUGACAAAUAGAUAGAAAUAUUUACCCAAAUUCUAAAAUUAUAGAACCAAGGCUGGCAUAAGUCCGUUUGGGGAUUUGUAAAAAAAAAUAUUACAAAUUGACUUUAUUUUUUAUUUAUUUUUUAAGUAUGGCAUACUUCGCAUGUUAUGCCUGAAGAGAAAAAGACCACUUUUUAAGUCUAAACAAUCUUCAUAGACCGACAGAGAACACAGUACCGCGAGGGAAAGCUGAAAAGUUACCUUGGUAGGUAGGUGCAACAGAUCUUAAAAUAGAAUACGUAAAGCAAUUAGAUGAUUUUUAAUGAAUUUCUAAUGUACCUUUUGCAUAAUGGGUUAGCUAGUUAAUUUAUUUAGCGAGCUUAAGAGAAUAAUCAUAGGCGUAGUGAAGGCAAAUAGUAACAUAUUUUUUAGUUAAAUGAAUUAGACCCGAAACCAAGUGAGCUAGCCAUGACCAGGAGUAUGCUGCGCAGCGGUGUAAGACCGAACCCAUAUCUGUGGCAAAAGAUUGGGAUGAGUUGUGGUUAGGGGUGAAAGGCUUAUCAAACUUGGACAUAGCUGGUUUUCCGCGAAAUUUAUUUAGGUAAAGCGUUAGUUUAUCAUUUUACCGGUAAAGCACUUUUUAAUGUAGGGGGUUUCGAUCUACCGAAGUUAAUUAAACUAAGAAUGGUUUUUUGAGUUAAAUUAGCAGGCAAGCAUAGAGCGCUAAGGUCCUAUUGCUAAAAAAGAAAUAGCUUAGAAUUAAAGUUAAGGUCUUAAAAAAAAACUAAGUGACAAAAAAACUAUUUGUAGUUUUUAAUUACUAGGAGGUGGGCUUAGAGGCAGCCAUCCUUUAAAGAAAGCGUAACAGCUCACUAGUAAUUAACUAUGUAUGGUUGACAAAUGUAGGAGUCUUAAGUUUUUUACCAAAACUUAAUCAAAUUUAUAUUAUAAUUUGGGUAGCGGAGCGUGGUGUUUGCUAAUUUAUUUUUUUUAAUUAUCGACAGAUGUAGUUUAUUCACCAUUGAUAAUGCUAGCAUGAGUAACAAUAUUAGUGUGAGAAUCGCUGAUACCAAAAGCCCAAGGUUUCCAAUGGCUAGGAUCUUCCACCAUGGGUUAAUCGAUCUCUUAUUUUUCUUAUGAGUAUUGGAAAAAAUGAGGUAUACUUUUUUUAUUAAUUUAUUUAGCUUUGUGACUUUUUUAAAUAAUCUGCGAAUAUUUUAAAGCGUAGUAGCUAGAUUAUUUUUGAGGAUUUAAAAAAACUUAGCAUAAAAAAUCGUACUAAAACCAACGCGGGUGGGCUGGUAGAGUAUACUAAGGUACAUGAGUGAAUAAUACUGAAGGAACUAGGCAAUUUGACCCCGUAACUUCGGGAGAAGGGGUGUCCACCUUAAUCGGCUGGAUGACACAAACCAGGAAGUGGCGACUGUUUAAUAAAAACACAAGAAUCUGCAAAAAUGAAAAUUUAAGUAAAGGUUCUGACACCUGCCCGGUGCUGGUAGGUGAAACCGUGCAGUACGCAAAGGUCAGCACAUUGAUUUGUAACUAUUUGCUAACUGCACUCUAAAUCCCAGUAAACGGCGGCCGUAACCAUGACGGUCCUAAGGUAGCGAAAUUCCUUGUCAGGUAAGUUCUGACGUGCAUGAGUGGUGUAACGACUGCUUCACUGUCUCCAGUAUUAGCUCAGUGAAUUUGAAUUGUUUGUGCAGAUGCGAACAUAGAAUGGCGGGACGGAAAGACCCCGUGCACCUUUACUUCAUUUUUACAUUGUUUGAAGGGGGCUUCGUGCAGCGUAAAUGUUAUUCCUAGGAGUUUCUUACGUCAGUAUUUAAAGGAGGAGGCAAUGAAACAGCAUUCUAAACCCCCUUCGGACUAAUUAGCUCUUUUGGUCUAAGAUAGUGUAAAUUUGGUAGUUUGGCUGGGGCGGUCAUCUCCUAAAAAGUAACGGAGAUGCGCAAAGGUAAACUUCUGGUAAUAAAUUUUUAUUGGUUUAGUGUAAUGGCAAAAGUUUGCUUAACUGUAAGACUGAUUAGGUCAAGCAGAAACGUAAGUUGGUCAUAGUGACCCGAUAAGUCUGAGUGGAAAGGUUAUCGAUCAUCGGACAAAAGGUACGCUGGGGAUAACAGGCUGAUGGUCCCUGAGAGUACAUAUCAACGGGCCCGUUUGGCACCUCGAUGUCGACUCAUCACAUCCUGGGGUUGAAGAAGGUCCCAAGGGUUCGGUUGUUCGCCGAUUGAAGUGGUACGUGAGUUGGGUUUAAAACGUCGUGAGACAGUUUGGUCCCUAUCUACCAUUCUGUUUUUUUUUGAAAAUUGCAAAGAGUUAAUCCUAUUACGAGAGGACCGGAAAAUAUUUACCAAUGGUGUAUCGAUUAUAAACGUCUAUUGUAAAGUCGAGUAGCUAAGUAAAAACUUCAGAACCACUGAAUAUAUCUAAGUGGGAAAGAUAACUUUAAGAAUGUUUUCAAAAGGUCGCAGUGGAGUACUGCGAAAAAAAUAUAAAUGAAUUAGCCGUAAUGCUAUGUUUUUUAAAUUUUUUUUUAAUCCUAGUAUUUUU
rnacentral:rRNA from 1 species